UUAAUACCUUAUAUAUAAUAUUUUUUUUUAAAUAUUAUUAUGUAAGAUUAACAUAAUUCAUAUUUUUUAAGACUGAAUUUUUAGUUUUGAUAAUAUGAAAUUUUACUUUGAGAAAAUUAGAGUGCUUAAAGCAGGCUUUUGCCUUGAAUACUCCAGCAUGGAAUAAUAAUAAAAGAUUUUUAUCUUUUUUUUAUUGGUUCUAAGAUAAAAAUAAUGAUUAAUAGGGACAGUUGGGGGCAUUUGUAUUUAACAGUCAGAGGUGAUAUUCUUAGAUUUGUUAAAGACAAACUAAUGCGAAAGCAUUUGCCAAGGAUGUUUUCAUUAAUCAAGAACGAAAGUUAGGGGAUCGAAGACGAUCAGAUACCGUCGUAGUCUUAACCAUAAACUAUGCCAACUAG
rnacentral:rRNA from 1 species